GACGAACGCUGGCGGCGUGCUUAACACAUGCAAGUCGAACGGAAAGGCCCUGCUUUUGUGGGGUGCUCGAGUGGCGAACGGGUGAGUAACACGUGAGUAACCUGCCCUUGACUUUGGGAUAACUUCAGGAAACUGGGGCUAAUACCGGAUAGGAGCUCCUGCUGCAUGGUGGGGGUUGGAAAGUUUCGGCGGUUGGGGAUGGACUCGCGGCUUAUCAGCUUGUUGGUGGGGUAGUGGCUUAACAAGGCUUUGACGGGUAGCCGGCCUGAGAGGGUGAACGGCCACAUGAGGACUGAGAUACGGCCCAGAAUCCUACGGGAGGCAGCAGUUGGGAAUAUUGCACAAUGGGCGGAAGCCUGAUGCAGCAACGCCGCGUGCGGGAUGACGGCCUUCGGGUUAUAAACCGCUUUCGCCUGUGACGAAGCGUGAGUGACGGUAAUGGGUAAAGAAGCACCGGCUAACUACGUG
rnacentral:rRNA from 1 species